rnacentral:rRNA from 1 species
UGCAAGUCGAGCGCGGUCUUCGGACCGAGCGGCGGACGGGUGAGUAACGCGUGGGAACAUGCCACUCGGUGGGGAACAACCUGCGGAAACGUAGGCUAAUACCGCAUACGCCCUACGGGGGAAAGAUUUAUCGCCGAGUGAUUGGCCCGCGUUGGAUUAGGUUGUUGGUGGGGUAACGGCCUACCAAGCCGACGAUCCAUAGCUGGUUUGAGAGGAUGAUCAGCCACACUGGGACUGAGACACGGCCCACACUCCUACGGGAGGCAGCAGUGAGGAAUCUUGGACAAUGGGGGAAACCCUGAUCCAGCCAUGCCGCGUGAUCGAGAAGGCUCUAGGGUUGUAAAGAUCUUUCACCGGUGAAGAUAAUGACGGUAGCCGGAAAAGAAGCCCCGGCUAACUCCGUGCCAGCAGCCGCGGUAAUACGGAGGGGGCUAGCGUUGUUCGGAAUUACUGGGCGUAAAGCGCACGUAGGCGGACAGGCAAGUCGGCGGUGAAAGCCCGGGGCUCAACCCCGGAACUGCCCUCGAUACUGCUUGUCUGGAGGCCGGGAGAGGCGAGUGGAAUUCCGAGUGUAGAGGUGGAAUUCGUAUAUAUUCGGAGGAACACCAGAGGCGAAGGCGGCUCGCUGGCCCGGUACUGACGCUGUAGUGCGAAAGCGUGGGUAGCAAACAGGAUUAGAUACCCUGGUAGUCCACGCCGUAAACGAUGAGUGCUAGUCGUCGGGCGGCUUGCCGUUCGGUGAC